GUAACGGCGAGUGAAGCGGCAAGAGCUCAAAUUUGAAAUCUGGCCCCUCCGGGGUCCGAGUUGUAAUUUGCAGAGGAUGCUUCGGGCGCGGUCCCCGUCUAAGUACCCUGGAACGGGUCGUCAUAGAGGGUGAGAAUCCCGUCUGGGACGGGUGGCCGUGUCCGUGUGAAGCUCCUUCGACGAGUCGAGUUGUUUGGGAAUGCAGCUCUAAAUGGGUGGUAAAUUUCAUCUAAAGCUAAAUAUUGGCCGGAGACCGAUAGCGCACAAGUAGAGUGAUCGAAAGAUGAAAAGCACUUUGAAAAGAGAGUUAAACAGCACGUGAAAUUGUUGAAAGGGAAGCGCUUGCGACCAGACUCGCCCGCGGGGGUUCAGCCGGUACUCGUACCGGUGUACUCCCCCGGGGGCGGGCCAGCGUCGGUUUGGGCGGUCGGUCAAAGGCCUCCGGAAUGUGUCGCCCCCCGGGGCGUCUUAUAGCCGGAGGUGCAAUGCGGCCAGCCUGGACCGAGGAACGCGCUU
rnacentral:rRNA from 1 species